GGCGGACCGGCUGGGAAUUAAAUGUUAAAUACCCCCUACAGGCUGGCUCCAUUACACCGGGCAUCCAGCCGCAGCCCCCCACGCCUCUCUGCCAGUCUUAAUCUCGGGACUUUAGCAAAGACGUGUGUGCGUUCGUUCGUCCUUGUUUAUGGAGCUGUUUCGGUGAAUGCUGGACAGAAACUAAAUAAUUAAAAGCAAACGUCAGGUUUAAGAAGACCGAGACUCAAGAGAAGCUCCAAAUCCAGGAUCGAGAGGACCCGCGUCUCCUCUACUUCUUCCAAAUAAAUUUUACUGAUCUUUCUACAAGGAUUGCGUAUUAAAACAACACAUCCCCUCCACGCCAAGUCAAGGCUGAAUCUUGAGGGUUUUGCUUCACCUCGUGAAAGGACUAGUCCAGAACGUACUUUUAGGGACAGUCUUUUCUAUCUCGAAUUUUUGUAUUUGUAGGGAAUUUUAUGGAGUAGAGAAGCGAAGAGGGAAUAAAGUCUUCAAAUAAAACCCCCUAUCAAGCUCUUUGUACCAUCGGUGGGAAAGCCUGCGAGAGAACCC
rnacentral:lncRNA from 1 species